rnacentral:rRNA from 1 species
UACGGAGUGUGCGAGCGUUAAUCGGAAUAACUGGGCGUAAAGGGCACGCAGGCGGUCUUUUAAGUGAGGUGUGAAAUCCCCGGGCUUAACCUGGGAAUAGCAUUUCAGACUGGGAGUCUAGAGUACUUUAGGGAGGGGUAGAAUUCCACGUGUAGCGGUGAAAUGCGUAGAGAUGUGGAGGAAUACCGAAGGCGAAGGCAGCCCCUUGGGAAUGUACUGCCGUUCAUGUGCGAAAGCGUGGGGAUCGAUCAGG